rnacentral:rRNA from 1 species
UACGAAGGGAGCUAGCGUUGUUCGGAAUCACUGGGCGUAAAGCGCACGUAGGCGGAUGUGUCAGUCAGGGGUGAAAUCCCGGAGCUCAACUUCGGAACUGCCUCUGAUACAGUACGUCUUGAGUCCGGAAGAGGUGGGUGGAAUUCCUAGUGUAGAGGUGAAAUUCGUAGAUAUUAGGAAGAACACCGGUGGCGAAGGCGGCCCACUGGUCCGGUACUGACGCUGAGGUGCGAAAGCGUGGGGAGCAAACAGG